AGUGAACGCUGGCGGUAGGCCUAACACAUGCAAGUCGAACGGCAGCACAGUAAGAGCUUGCUCUUACGGGUGGCGAGUGGCGGACGGGUGAGGAAUACAUCGGAAUCUACUUUUUCGUGGGGGAUAACGUAGGGAAACUUACGCUAAUACCGCAUACGACCUACGGGUGAAAGCAGGGGAUCUUCGGACCUUGCGCGAUUGAAUGAGCCGAUGUCGGAUUAGCUAGUUGGCGGGGUAAAGGCCCACCAAGGCGACGAUCCGUAGCUGGUCUGAGAGGAUGAGCGGCACCAAGGGAGAUAGACACCGGUCCGGACCCCACGGGGGGGCAGGAGUGGGGAAUAUUGAAAAAGGGGGGAAGGCCUAACACACCCAUACCGGGUGGGUAAAGAAGGCCUUGGGGUUUUAAACCCCUUUGGUUGGGAAAAAAAAGCAGGAGGUUAAUCCCCCGUUUUUCGGAGGGUACCAAAAAAAAAAGCACCGGAUAACUUCG
rnacentral:rRNA from 1 species